GAUUCAGACAACAGCCUUCUAUGAGAAGGUGUUCUCUAUAACUUUCAUAGCUGCAGAGGAGAGGUCAGUGACUCAAUAAUUCCAGAGCCACCUCAACCUUCAGCAAGCACCAUUUCAAUACGCAAACAUCAACACUGAACCAGACCUUGCAUCAGCAGAAAGAUUAAGACUUUCUGAAGGAUUAGCAAUCAGAACUGUUGAAUUUGAAAAUAUUUGGUACCAAGAUUGAGAGACAACAUCAGGCCACGUUUGACUUUGGUUAAGAAAUGGAGUUGAAGUAGCUGUGUCAACACAGUGUUUGAGAUUUGAGCAAAGGCAUUUGAAGUUACACUCAACAUCUGUGAAAUAUUCCUCGGAAGCUUCAGUCCCGCUGAAGGACCGGUUUCCUCAGUUCUUUGUGGUCUUUGUGCACCUUUGGGACCUACGACACUUCCUGGUCACUUCCGCAAAGACAGCGGAAAUGAAAUCACACCAAGAAUCAAACGCCGGACC